ACAGAAGAUUCUAUGGAGCUUUAAUUUAUUCUUUACCACUUCCAGUUUGUAAGAACAUAAAAAUAAGAUUUGAAUUAAUAAUUUUGGUUGGGUUGACCUCGGAGAACAAAUCCUUAGAAUGAUAUUAACAUAGACACAAGUCACAGUCUACCAUCAUUAAUUGAUCCAAAAACAUUUUGAUCAAUGAACCAAGUUACCUUAGGGAUAACAACACAAUCCUGUUUCAGAGUUUAUAUUGACAGUUAGGGUUUACAACCCUGAUGUUGGAUCAGGAAAUCCUAAUGGUGCAGCCACUAUUAAGAGUUCAUUUCGUCAAUGAUUAAAGUGAUUUGAGUUCAGACUGGAGUAACCCAGGUCAGUUUCUAU
rnacentral:ncRNA from 1 species